UUGUUUCCAAGGACAGGAAUUAGAAAUUUAGAAUUAGGUUUCUCUCAAGUCUCAAACAAAAAAGUAAAGAACAAACCGUCUGCGACUGCUGCGAGUGAAGAAUAGAUCGGCACGACGACUUCACUACCUCGGUGUCGACGACUCUCAAGUGUAACUGCUUAUUUUCUCAUUUUUGACCUUCAUUCUUCAAUCUUCAACUCUUCAACAGGUUCACAACUUCUUCAUUCUUUAAUAUUUAGUUUGUAUUUUGUAACCAAUAACUUCUUUUUUGAGUACAAAAGGAACUAUAAAGUAUAAACCCAAUACUUUAGUUAAAAAAUAAAAUGGAAAAUGCUUAUGCAAUCUGCAAAAAUAAUAAGGAAAAAAAGUCUUUCUUAUCAAUCUGUUGUUAACCAACGAUGAUGAGCCUUAACCAAACAUAUUUUGUUAUAACAAUCUCAUCAGAAACAGUUAAUUGAGCAAUUGGACUAAUAUAGUCUUCACUCUUCAUUAUUUGUACAAUAAGGUUAUACUUAGAGAACAAUUCAAGUUUCUGACAAUUAAAGUCUUAAAUAGCCAAGAAUCUAGCAAAAAGUCUUAGGACUGUGAUUUUUUUAAAUAUAGAUCAAUUCAUUGUUAUCUAGUCCUUAUGGGUAUGUGGUAUGGGUAUUGGAAUUAAUUUUAAGCACUCGUAUCUGCUCUGUGGAUUUAUAAUUGGUUUUGGAUGAUUUGUUUUUAAUUUGAUCCCUACAAACCCAUAUAUAACAAUUUUUGUUUUGAUUUGCAUAUUUCAUCUUUGAUGCUAAGAAAUCAUUGAUAGAAAUUAGUUUAUCUUUGCUUCAGUAUUAUUAAAGGUGAAAUCUUUGUUGCUAAGAAAGUAAUUAAUAAGGUGUAUAUCUAUACUCAACUCCAGUCUCAAUUUGUAUUUGUAUCUAUUUUAAUUUUGUAUAGAUGGCAGAUGAAAGUAGAGUAAGUGAUGUCGAUUCAACUGAAAGCUUAUCUAUUACUGAAGAUAGCAAUUCCAACACAAUUGAUACUCAAGAUUCUAAGAAAAGAAAAGCCAUAGAACCUAGAUCCGAUGUUUGGAAAUAUUUUGAUAAAUUUGGAAAAAUGGGGUGGUAAAGCGAGGUAUAAAUAUUGUAAAUAGGCUUAUGCUGCUAAUUCAUCUAGGAAUGGAACAAUAUGAUUGAGAAAUUAUUUUACUAGAUGCAAACAAUACCCACCUAACAUUGAUAAAGAUAAUACUCAAACAAGGAUAAACUUUCAAUCUUGCCAUUGGGAUGGAGGAUCGCUUUGGAAAUUUGAUCAAGAAAGGGUUAGGAGGGCUUUAAUUAAGAUGAUAGUUAUUGAUGAACUACCAUUUAGCUUUGUAAAAAAGGUAGGCUUUAUGAAGUUUAUGAGAAUAGCUCAACCACUAUUUCGUCUUCCUUCUCAUAGAACAAUAAUAAGGGAUUGUUAUGAAGUUUACGGUAAAUUAAAGCAAAAUCUAAGAAGGUCUUUUAGAGAAGCACAACCAAAAAUUUGCCUCACAACAGACACUUAAACUUCAUUGCAAAGAAUAAAUUAUAUGUGUUUGACAACCCACUUCAUUGAUAGGGAUUUGAAGUUGAAGAAAAAAAUACUAAAUUUUUACCCUAUCACUAGUCAAAAGAGUGAAGAGAUGGCUAAAGCUAUUGAUAAUUAUUUGCUUGAAUAAAAAUUAGAUAAGGUGUUCACUAUUACCAUGGACAAUGCUUCCUCAAAUGAUGUCACAAUCAAAGAAUUGUCUAAAAAAAUAGUUAGAUAUGUGGAAAACUAAUAUGAUGGGUGGUAAGCAUCUUCAUGUGAGAUGCAUGGCUCAUAUACUUAAUCUAAUUGUGCAAGAUGGUUUGAUAGAAAUUGAUGUUUCUGUACUGUGAGGUAUGUGAGAUCAUCGCCUGCAAGGACCUUAAAGUUUAAGUAAUAUUGUGCACAUAUAAAAGUAGAAUGUACCAAAACAUUGUGUUUGGAUGUUCCUACUAGGUGGAAUUACACCUAUUUGAUGUUGGAUAUGACACAAAACUUUGAAAAGGUAUUUGACAAAUUUCAUCUUUUUGAUGAUGAAUUUUCUGCUUAUCUUUGUUCUCAUCUUUGUGAAGACGGUAGUAGUGAAGGUCCUCUUGAAUCUGAUGAUUGGGUGAAUGUGAGGAAC
rnacentral:lncRNA from 1 species